UCCAUGGUUUGAUUGAACGUUUCUCAAAAAUGGGUAAAAGGUGCAUGAUCAUAGCAACUAUUUUGGCCAUCAUCUUUGUGUUGUCUCUUACCUCGAUGUGUGAUGCAUCUCGAUUGAUUUAUCAAGAAUUUGGUGCUAAGUUGGAAAAAUGUGGCCCUUGUUUCUGCUGCCAACCGAAUAGUCCACCGUGCUGCCUCUGCGCCUGCCCCGUGCCACCGUGAAAAGCCACAGUUCCAGGCUAGAUUUUGCUGAUAAAUAUUGAAUAAGUUGAAGAUGUAAGAAAUUUAAAAGAUAUUUGGUCUGUGGUCUCAUGUGUAUUUCUGUACUUAGAUUGAUAAAUAAGCUUAUAAACAAUCAUUUCUUGUUA